CUUAUUGCUCUGUAAAGUUGACAAGUGCUCAAACAAGUACUCAUGCAUUUUACAUGAUGCAUUUAACGGGGUCGCCGCAUGAUGAUCCUUGUGGUUUUGGUUUCGUGGGCGCAAGCGUUAAAGCGGUUAAAAAAAAAAAAAUCACGCUGAUUAAUACUCUGUGGGCGUCUUUUGAUUUGGAUGCAGGAAAACGACAGAUUAGAGUUUAAUUCACUUGAGCAACUAGACGGUUAAAAAAAAAAAACGUACGCCAAGAGAAGUCAGCUUCCGGAGUCGCGCUACUAUUUCAUCGUUUAUGCUGGGUCGUCAAACUUGCUAAAACCCCAGCGACAUGGUUGGAAACGUCUUUUUUUAUUCGUGGCUUCUUGAAACUUUGCAGUGUUUCUAAUGAUUGGUUGCCAACUGAUUUGACACCCCUCCCAAACGUUGCCAAGCGCAACCGGCUUUGGGGGACGACACUUUAAACAGCUCCACGAGGCAGCAGGCCAAUUGAUGGGGUUCAAGCUUGGCCGUUUAUGAGCAAGGAAAAGCCCUCAAUGGUGGGGAGACGGAGCAAUUUCAAGAGGGCCCCUUAAUGAAUCGACGCACUUUGCAUUCACCUCGCAUAGGAGAGCAUCUGAGGUGGAUGGCGAGCAUGAUAAAUAGGAGGGCGGGAGAGUGAAACGGGAAAUUUGGGAGUCAGACUGGAGGCAAGAUGGUGUGGAGUCACGGCGAAAACGAUUACCGUGAGAGAGAAGAGAGAGAGAGAGAGAGAGAAAAAAAGGUGCAUUGUGGGAGAAUGGGGACGAUCGACUGCGGGGAGGUAAUAAAGACAAGUGAUGAGGUGCGAGCGUGCCUCCGCUGCCCCGAAGAACCUACCUGGGAAGUGGACGAUGAGCCACUUUGCAUUCCAACAAGGUCCACGACUAAUGAGCUCAAUAAAAAGGUCGAGGUUUGAGGAUGAUCACCAGCCUUGGGAGCAUUUUAAAAGCCGUGCCCUCCAGAAACUGAACAUUCUAUUGCGAUGAGAAAGGCAAAGGAGAGUGCCCCCCCCCCCCCGCUUGCACACAGGGAAAACAGCUUUAACAAUAAGUGCUAGCAGGCACACCAAAAAACAAACAAAAAAAACAAAAACGUCAACGUCUGUAAAUGUCCAACUUGCCUGGAGAACAAACCUGCUGCUCAAAUCGCUCUCUUUCUCCGCCGCGUUGAAACAAGAAACGAUUAAAGACGACAACAAACAACAACGUGCGUUUCUCAGCCGGAACACAUCAUACUCUUUAGCGCCCGUUUUCACCUCAGUCAUUCGUCUGCCUCCCCAGUGCUGGGGGUGAUAAGGGCCUGAGGCAUUUCCGCACUAAUGAAGCAUCGGCGGUCGCAAAUCUGCCUCUGAGGACCUCUGCUAGGAAGCCGUCGCGAGAGGCCAAGGACGCAGCCGUGAUGCAUCUGAUGCAAAGAAAGACGGAUGAAUUCACGAGGCUCCGAAGGAGCAUAUGGAGUGUUGGGGAAACAAGGCGCCUGCCGUGUGUCCCCGGGAACGCUUCUCUUUGUGGCUGGGUGCGCUCAGCAGAUGACACGGUCCGAGUCGGCGUGCGAAUUCUGCAACUUGUGCGCAUGCAUAAUUGAGAAGCUGCUGCCUCACCCUCCGCGCGCCUCCCUGCAGGUUAUAUUCCCCCUUGAUCACGGCGACCGCUCCCGGACGGCGCGUGGCAGGUGAUUGACACGUGAGCACGCCACGGCGAGAGGCAGGCUAACAACGGAGAGCCAACAGACUUGCUGACGUGAGGGAGAAAAAGGAUAAAUAUGUGGGGAAGAAGCGGCGGCGAGGGUACACACACAUCACUGCGUCCCGCUGAUCUGCUUCUCUGUCUUCCUGUCAACGCCCGAGGCGCCGGGGGUCCGGCGUGCCGUCUACACGGGAGUGCCCCCCCCCGCCCCCAAGAGAGCAUCCGCACAUGCUCCGAGUAGCUUUGAGUAAGCAGGAAAGAGACAGCUCGAGUGGUGUGUGUGCGCACUGAAAUUCAGAUUAUGUAAUCCAUAUGAAAAAGCCUCCAUCAGCUUUUUGCUUUUUGUGUGGUCAGUGGCUCAUUUUGUCAAGACACACACACACACACA